AGCCAGCAGCAUUCCCAAGGGACGGGAGUGUGAGCAGUGCCUGCCUCAGCUGGACAGGGAGCAGCUGCAGCCAGUGCUCAGAAUAACCUGAAAUCAUGAGAACUUCCACCCACAUCUGAAAAUCUCCUCAAUGAAGGAUUCACCCUAAAAAAGGAACAGCCACAGCACUGGGUUCUCUCCAGAGGGACUGUGGCAGGAAUAACCUGCAGAAAGCAUCUCCCAAGGUGGGAACAGAGCCACAGGCUGGAAGUGGCUGAGAACAGAAAGUGGAGGCACUGAAUUCAUCUGGGACUGAGGUCUGUUCCUGGACAUGGAGGCCAUAGGAGAAUUUUGAGGGACCCCGGGAAGCAGAGUUUGGAAUCUGCCUGGCCAUGGCUCCUCCAGUCCUGUCAGACCUGGGCUACGUCCCCCCCGAUGGUGGAUGGGGCUGGGCAGUGGUGUUUGGAGCCUCCAUCUCUAUUGGCUUUGCAUUUACCUUUCCCAAAGCUUUCACCAUCUACUUCAAAGAGAUCCAGGCUGUUUUUGGAAUCUCCUACAGCCAGCUUGCCUGGACAACCUCCAUCAUGUGUGCUACCACCUACGGAGGAGG